rnacentral:lncRNA from 1 species
CUGCCCUUGCUGGCACCCAGCGAGCUGGCAACGCUGGAGAGCCAAAACCAGCGCGACCUGCUCAUCCCAGUGGAUAGCAUUGCGGCAGCCUGGCGGUCCCACGCGCUGCGGCAUGGAAGCGGGGUGCCCUCCCACCUCUGUCGGCCCCGGCACGGCACACGGCCCCGCAACCACCACCGCCACUUGGACCCACACAGCAAGUAGGGGCCGUGCCUCCCUCCUGCCCCCCCUGGAGCAGCAGCGCCCCCUGCUAGGUGCCGAGCACUCCUGGAGCAGCAAUAAAGCGCUUUUUCCCCGCCUGACAGAUUCGGAGCAGGAUAGGAGGAUCGUCCUGGUGCGGGGCUCGGGCAGCCCAAGGAUGGGGUGGGGGCACAGGAUGAGCCCCCAUUGAACCUUAUCCCAGCCGCAUCCUAUCCUUCCCUGGGGCAGUGCUGCCCUCCGCUGGCAGCAGGGCUGUGCUACAGGAGCGCACCAGGGCCCCCGCAUGGCGGAGAUGGAGAAGGGGCUCAGCAGGGCAUGAGGCAGCGCCCGGCCCCACGUCCAGCACUGCCUGGGCUGCGAAAUCCCCACCACCACCACCGCCCCGCUUUGCACAGCCCAUUGCGCACACAGCUGUGUACAUCUCAUCCCACCCCCCCGAGCUGUGCCCCCCAGGAGGCAGGGUCAGACGCAGCGCAUAAUUUAUAUAUAAUAUAUAUAUUUACUCUUUAAAAAUAAACCUUCAGUCCCCACUACCGCCUGUACAAACUACAAAAAUAAACCUUUGCUCUCUUUGAUAUAAAUAACUUAGAUGGCGUGGUUGGGGGGGGGGGGGCUGCCCACCGUGCCCACGCCUGGCACGGGGACGAGGACCCCAGGGCCACCCCAGCACAGCGGCAGUGUCAGGGGGCCAGGGCAGUGGGCACAGCAACACCGCUGGAGUUAAAGUGCUGGGUAACGGCGCGGACGGUGCCCGGGAUGGGGAUGGGGGUUGGCAGGGGGAGACGGCCCCAUUGCAUGGGCACGGGGCAAGAAAGUUGCUUUCCCAGCUGGAUGAGGCCGGUGGCAGUGUGGGUGCCCUACACCGGGCAGAGCUGUGAUGGUGGGACAUCGCAGGGGCUUGGCACAGCGAGGAGCACCCCAAGGACCCCUCCCCCCCCCCCCCCAAAUCCAGCAAUAGGCUCCCCGGCACGGCCCCCAGCUCUGUCCCUCCUGUGCUCACUGGUAGGGAAACUGAGGCACAGAGAGGGUGGGGGGAGAUGGGGCUGCCCCUCGCUACCCCACCCCAGGCAGCCUGACAAGGCCCUCGGC